AAAACACAUAACAAACAAACAAGGGGUUGUGACAACUGAUUAACUCAGGAACACUGAUAACAUCAAGGGCAAUUUCUAGGAUGCCAACGGCCACAACAUCUAAUACUGAUUUAAAAUGAACUAACAGAAAUGAAAGGUUCACAAAAAAAGCUGCCAAUCACAGAAUGACCCAGCUUUAUGCAACUGAUCGCUUUCAUGGUGUUAAACAUGUGCCUUAUUCAGGAUCAGCCUUCACCCCUGCUGCAGAGAGAGUUCAAAUUAAUCUGGAUAGAAUCGGUUUCAUACAGAUUUCAUUCAAGAAGCUGCUUUUCAGACCCUCCGUUAACCCCUCCCUCGGUCAGACAACACACACACACACAAAUUCUCCCCAUCUUCUUCCCCACUUAAUCACAUGGCUCUACCACACCCACAUGCUUCCGGAAAUUUCCACCAGUCUUUCAAAGCGCAUUUAGCCAGCAGAUGGCCAACUUUUAGGGGCGGGGGAUGGUCACACAACCCUAAAAAAUUACUUUGUCAGGAAUUUGGAUGGAUUUAUCACAUUCCCACAAUAAUGUGGCCACAGCUGUUGGGGAUGGAAAAAUGCAGAAGCGAAAAACAAAUGAGCUCCAGUGUGUGGAAUCCUCAUGUUUUACAUGAAAACCUACUAGUAUUUUUCCACUCACAUCUUUUUAUGCACUUUCAGCCUCAGUCGACAAAAAUGCUCCAAGUAGGGGUCUUUGGAUAAUCUGCUCAUCCUCUCUUGCUCUAUCCUUCUCAGGGGUUGAUUACUGAAAACAGCAAUCGGAAAACUCUAGGCCUUAAAUUUACAUCAUCAUUGGGAUGCUUCCUUUUGAAGAUAAAUGGCAUUGGAGAAACACUUUCAAGCACUAGGAAAAGCAAAAAGACCAAGAAACCACUGAAUUGUGCUUUUUAUGUGAGCUCUAACUAAUGCCCUUCCUUUUUCAACUAAAUUUAUUCCACUAAAUAUCACAUCUAAGGUUAAUCCAAACACUUUCCUGCUUCAAAAAAGCUUUAAAGAAGGAUCUUUAAAAAAGAUAAAGUUAUAAAAUAAUUUCUUUAAAAAAAAAAAAACUUGCAUGUAUUAUGUGUUUUUAUUUAAUAAAUCUGAAACUCUCUUGAAAAUAAGUUUAAUUAUUAUUAUCCUUUCAUAAAUUUAAAGUUUGAGUCAUACCUCAUUUUAAAACCUGAAUUAACUUUUUCUUGUCAUUAAAAUUAAACAUUAUUCACAUCAUUUAAAAUUGUAUUAUAUGUGUUGACCUUGACUCAUUUAAGACGAUAUCAGCGUCAUGUCAUUGACUCUGAAAACGUGAAACUUUCCACUCAUUGAUGAUUCUGAACUGUCUAGUUUCACACUAGUGACCUUAAUCUGAGAGUGGUUGGUCCACUUGGAGUGGAACCAGGGACUGAUACUUUAAACCAGGCCAUUUACAGGAAGGACAACAGACAAAGCCUAUGGUGACACUGCAGCUUCAGAUAGACUCACAAAUCUGUCCAUUGUGUAGCGACAGCCACAGCAUCCACACAAAAUUAUUGACAGAGCCGAGGGUGAAAAGACAAAAAGAUGAGCAGAUACUGAAAUGCGUUGUGGCAGAAAAACUCUCUGAAAGACGGUUUUGUGCAUUUAAUCUUUUUUGCCCCCUCUGGCAUGCAGUGAACAGCAUGCGCAGUCGAUAAGCGUGGGACUGACAGUGGGGCAAGAGAGAAAGAGGAAUGGGUUAAAACACACAACAGUUGUUCUAUUGACUCUGCAAAAGUACUCAACAGAUAACCCAGACUGAGCAACAACUUAAUGUAUCGCUUAAGGCCAUACAAAAAAGAAAGCUAAGGCUAAAGAGGACAAUGUGUUUGUUGCAUGCAUUUGUAGAUAGUUCAACCUGCUCUUAGUUCACUCCAGGACGACAAGCAGUAUUUGCAAUUAUAUUGGUCUUCAUCGUGACUUGCAAGAAAUGGGUUUUAUGCUUUCUCUCUGGGAUCUCCGCCAGCUCUGAGAAAAAGGUGAACUACAUUAGUCAGCGUCAGAAACACACAGGCUUGCAAACAUUUCGAUUUAUAUUUGCCCAAUUUUUCUAUGCAAAGCGAUUCACACCAAAUUUUCCCAGGAAAUAAGACCUUGUGAACGUUUAUGCCAUGUUUUACAGAUAAUAAUUAUUUCAAUUAAAUGUCCCUGGAUGUCUAGAAUAACUAAUAAACAUCUAUGGAGUUGCUAAAUACCCCAAUGUACCUUUGAGCUCGUGAAUUUGCAUAAAAUGUGUAGAAACUUGGGAAGUGGGUGUUCAACUAAAGAAACAAUAUAAUGGCAAAAUUGUUGUGCAAGAUCAUAAGAGGCUGUGGAAGGAAAUGUAUAUAAUAAAAUCAUAUUCAGAUGUGACUAAAGUCUUAGCUGCGUUUCCAGGGUUUACGUAACACCUGGCAAAACCAGUGAUUUAUUCUCUUUCGGCCUAAACUAAAACACACUGCUACUCUUUCCAUAACCCCAUAGGCAGCAGCAGAUCUUAUGUAAUGUAAAUUCCUAAUGAAUAGAUGGAAAUAAUCUAUACUGACUGCUCCAUCAUAAUAAUUACAGUUCAGUACUUUUUAAUAUAAUUAAUUUUUUGAACUGCUCUGUGAAUUAAUAGAUUACAUCAUGCGAGCAAAGGGCAACAAAGCUGCUAUUUUUAUCUCGGCAUUUUAUCUCUGCACCACUCUAAUGAAAUGAUAACCUUUAUGGAAAAAGGUUAAUGGGAAGAACACAAUUUAAGCAUUGAGCUAACAGAGGCACCAGCUGACCUCAUGCAUGAGAACAGGCUGGAAAACUGAAUAAUCCUUCACCGCGUACAGAAAGAAUGUUUGAAAGGAAAAGAGACAGGAGACAGAAGACAGUGGCCGUCAUAGAAAAAGUAUCAGUGAUUCACAUUAACCACAACAUGCAAUAGAGGAAAUUAGUAAUUCUUAGCGGAAAUAUAAAAUAACAUAUAUACAAAAAAAAAAAAAAAACAGCAUCUUAACUCUUAGGAAACUAUGGAUAAUAAUGCACAAGCAGAGGUAGAAGUUUAAGGAGCACAGGAUUCACUGCAUUCAUUUCCCUUACAAAUGAAGCACUGCGGUGACAAUUAGGUCAUCCAUAGACAGAUGGGGAGAUAUAGAACGGAAAUGGAUUUGUGUGAAGUGAAACUGCUGCUUCCUUUGAUUUACAAAUGGGAUUAUAAAACAUGAUUACAAAUUGUAUUAUAUACUGUGGGAAUGUGAACACAAUGUUAGGUUCUGGAAAUGACUGCAAGCAUUUUCAGGUGUGAAGUGAGAACAUAGAAAGAAAACGAGGGGGGAACCAUAACCAGACAUGAAAUUCCCCAGCAUUUGUCAUUUCCAUAUUCUGCAUAUAAAAAAAAAAAUGUAAAAAAAAAAAAAAUCUCCUUUCAUGUUUCACAGAAGUCAUACAGGAAGAUGGAAAAAGCAGAUUUUUGACAAAUAACAUGUUUUUGUUUUUCAAAUAAAAGAGUGAUUUCAGUGUAAUUUGUUGCAGGCUCAUUUAUUGGUAAUAAAUAAUCAAUAAUACAGACUGAUGAUGCAGAUAAAUAAUCAAAUAAUAUUGUGCUUGUUUCUGAAGCGAUGGUUGCUUUUCUGUCUCGCGAGAGUUGGCAACAGUGCUUGCAUCAUACAGAGCCGGGACCCUUUUUUGAACGUCUCGUCCAAGUCUACGGUAAAAUCCAAAUAUAGGUCACUAGGACUUGGUCGUUAUUUUUCCAUCUUCCUGACAAAAGAUCAACGAGGAGGUAAAAUUUAUGUUCUGCGUCAAAAUAUACGAGCACUGGUCUCUAUGAACCACACCACUCUUUUUAACCUAGAUAAACUGAAACUGUCCCAUCCUGGUUUUCAUUUCUGAUAUUUCAUUUACGUCUUGAUCGACAUUUACGAUUACUUUAAAGAUGAAGAACGUUUUUUUUUUUUUUUAUUGAAAAUCGUUUACCUUGUAACGUUAAGCAGACAAUAAUCAGGACAAUAGCAUAAUCACAAUUUACAGGGAAAACAGAAAUUUGAACGUGUAUGGAGCCCAUUUUAUAAUUAAACGGGAAAAAACGACAUGAUAUAUAGUCUGGGGAAAGUUAACGUUAAAUUAACUGCCUGACGAAUUAAUAUUUAAUGUGCAAUAUUUCAGCACCUACAAUUCUGUUAGAUUACGUUAAAUGCCACAUUGUGAAAAUACAAUCGCUGUACGUUAAAUAAAAAAAAAACGUUUACCUUUGUAUAUUUUUAUUUAUUUUUAUUUCGUAAUAAUACUAAUAAUUAUUUCUUUAUUUUUAUUAUCAGUGCUUCGUACUGAUAAUAAAAAAGUGCUUUGUACGUUAUUUUCAUAUGUGUGAAACAAAUGUACAAUGUACAAAUAGAAAAAUCCAAAUAAAUUAAAUACUUAAAAAAAACGGUUUCCUGCGAGCUGCAAACGUUAAACUCACGCGGGUGGAUUCUUUCUCUGAAUAGAGCAACGCCUGCGGUUUUCAAGACACGCGCAGAGCAGAUUACAACGCACCAUAUGGCAGUCGCGGUACCAUAAUCUUUAGCAUCAACCAGCACAGACAGCCUGCUAGAGCUGGGCCCUGAUUCAAACCAGCCACCAGCAGAUGAGUGGGCAUAUCCAACAUAAACCUUGUGCCAACACUCCUGUGUCAACAUGGAAAAAAAGGACAGUCUGAGAGAGUUAAUCAAUCAGUUCCAAGUAAUUGAAUACUUAAAGGAGAGCGCAGUAAUUGUUGUCCCAGUAGUUUUCAACUGGACCCUGCUAGGCCAUAUUGUUCAGGCACUUACUACUGUUCCUGUCCCAGAGGACUAACUAUCUCAGCUGAUGGUAGAACAUGCCAGGGUACGACAGUUUAAAAAAAGUUUAGCUUUGAAUGGUAAUGUAUGAUACUGAUAUUUCUGAAAUCUCAACUGAGCAACUGCUUUCAUGUAUGUUUACCCUAGAUAUUGAUGAGUGUUCACUGUGCGGUCACAUGUGUCAUGAUGGACAAGAGCAACCUCUAAGAAUGGUGCAGUUUUUUGAUUAUGUGUGACUGAGACAUAUUGGUCUUUGUGUUGGAGUGUGAAUGUGUGCGUGCAGAUCCACCACUUGAAGAUAUUUCCACAGGUCAUGUUGACAUGUAAAAGGCAUUUAAGGCUGGAAGAGCUGAGUUGCGGAGUCCUGCAGACAGACAACGCUGCUCUCUGAGGUUCAGACUUCUGUCAGACUUCAGGCGGGUUAGUGGUUUGGCUGCAAGAAUCCUUCAUCAGAAUGUACAGCAGGACUAUGGGUGGUUUAAAAGAAUACAUUUGCAUAUAUGUCUACCUAU